rnacentral:lncRNA from 1 species
AGCAGCUUUUAUAAUGGCUGCUUUUAAUCCAUCAGUGGGAGAAACAGGAGGCCCUGAGACUCCGUGGCCAGGAAGCAGAGCCUGCUUAAUGAGCCAAUGAUCUCUUCUGCCUUCAUGAGAGUGUGCACACGUGCACACACGCACCAUCAUCGAUGACGCUCUCGAAGUAUUUGAAGACGACUCUGAGAAAGGUCAGGUCGGUCAACAUGGGAACCAUGACUGGGGGAGCAAGGACGAUUGUAGGAAAAGAAGAUGAAAGAGAUAGAGAAGAGAGGACUGCUGGUGAAGACCAUGCCAGAGAGAAAAUUAUUUUUCAGUGCCUUUUGAAGGCAAGUAACACAAAGCACGGCCAAUUUCUGGAAGAUAAACAAUGACCAUAAAUCCUUAUGUGGUGAAU